rnacentral:rRNA from 1 species
AGUGAACGCUGGCGGUAGGCCUAACACAUGCAAGUCGAACGGCAGCACAGUAAGAGCUUGCUCUUACGGGUGGCGAGUGGCGGACGGGUGAGGAAUACAUCGGAAUCUACUUUUUCGUGGGGGAUAACGUAGGGAAACUUACGCUAAUACCGCAUACGACCUACGGGUGAAAGCAGGGGAUCUUCGGAACUUGCGCGAUUGAAUGAGCCGAUGUCGGAUUAGCUAGUUGGCGGGGUAAAGGCCCACCAAGGCGACGAUCCGUAGCUGGUCUGAGAGGAUGAUCAGCCACACUGGAACUGAGACACGGUCCAGACUCCUACGGGAGGCAGCAGUGGGGAAUAUUGGACAAUGGGCGCAGGCCUGAUCCAGCCAUACCGCGUGGGUGAAGAAGGCCUUCGGGUUGUAAAGCCCUUUUGUUGGGAAAGAAAAGCAGCAGGUUAAUACCCCGCUGUUCUGACGGUACCCAAAGAAUAAGCACCGGCUAACUUCGUG